UGUUGUGUCGGCGUCGGCGUCGGCGUUUUUGUCGCAGUAAACAAUUCGGAGUCGCUUGUCUCCGCGACUUCAACGCUGUGCCGUGCGUGGUCAAUCGACUGGUAAUUUUCUUAUUCUGUGUUGUGAUUUUGCUGAGUCUCAGUUUUUAUUUUUAUUUUUUAUUAUUUUUUUUAGAGCAGAAAUGGUAUUUGUUUGUUUCUUCUAUCAAUGGAGGUUGGUUUGAUUUUCUUGUUUAUUCGAUCGAGGUUUUAUUUAUUUUAAUCUUCCCUUAACAACUUCUCUUCAUCAUAAGCAUGUAUCCUUUUCUAUCUAGUUUCAUGUAUGUGUGAUUUCUGUUUGAUGAUGGAAUAGAUGCCAAGUUUAGAUCUUCUUGGGUGCAAACAAUUCCACUUGAGUGGGGACGGAGAUUUCACAAAAAAUGGAUAUGGAUAUGGAGUGGAUGAUAGCGUGAGUUGUUCGCAAGGUUCAAUUAAGAGAGGUGGUGAAGUUAGAGAUGGCUCAUGGUGUUUACAUUUACGGGGAAGCUGUUGUGCUAGCCUGUGACAUUGUUGGGAGAGACUCUGAUGUUCAGCGGGCUUACAUUGAUUCAUCAUCUUCGUCGUCAUCACCAUCAUAUUCUUCUUCUUAUUCUUCUUCUUCUUCUCAUUUAGCUUCGUCUUUCAAUUGUAAGGGAGGACUUGUUAACAACCUAGAGGUAAUGCUGCAAAAGAAGGCAGUUUAGCUGCUCGAGAAAGCCUGUGAAAGAUUGAGGCACACCUUGUCACAAAUGUGGAUGAGGCUUCCAUAGACAUGGCUGAAUAUAUGCUGGAUAGCCCGCGUGUUGAAUUGAAUGAAAUUAGGAAAGAGAAGGAUCAUGUCAGCCAAAUUUGGAUUCCUCGUGUAGAGAUGGAAUUUAAACUUCUAAAUUUUGGAUGAUGUUAGUGUUUUGGAUAUGUGGAAGGAGACACUGGCAUUCCAGCAAAUUCCACAAAGAAGGUUGGAGGAUAUGGACAUGUUGAAACGGGUGCACAGAGAGCUUCUCCAACGUCUUGAAUUAGAAGCAGCGCAGAAGAAGGUUCCCUCUUCUGAAGAGUUUCAAAAACUUGGUGCCAUUUUGACUGACCUCCUAUGAAAGUGCCGUGAAAUUUUCAAGCAGAACUUAGUUGUUGGCUCAGAUACGAUAGCAAAGGUGGCGAGCCCUGUGACUGGCAUUCCUGUUUCUUGGCUUCUUAACUCUUUCAAGCCGCCGUUGGAGCCUCAAAGCAAAGUUGGCCUACAGUCUGGUUGGACAAGAUCAUGUCAUCAAUGCAAUCACCAGUGCCUCGUUAAGGCCUAGGCCCGAUGGAAGUGCACCUCAUCCGAUUGGAUCAUUUCUCUUCCUGUGCUCUCAUCUUGGGACUUCAAAUCUUUUUGAAACUCUUGCCAAGAACAUUUUUGACAGCAAAGACCUGGUAAUAAGAUUCGACAUGUCAGAAUAUAGCGAUUUGCAUUCUGUCCAGUGUGACUCAUUCUUCCUCAAUGUACGCUCAAGGUAGCUUAACUCGGGAAUUCACUCUAUGCCGACCAAUUUCUUAUUUUUUGAAAAUUAUGCUUAAAUGGCUUUAUUCUUUAUUGUUUUCAAAGACUACAACCAUGAGGAGCAUGGGGUGGGUGGGAAGCUUAUAGAGGCUGUGAAGAAUAGGCCGUACUGUGUUAUUUUGUUUGAGAAUGUUGACAAAGCCAAUAACUACGCUAUUACCAUUAUUCUUGAUAUCUUAAGACACGGUGGACUAAUUGACAGUCAGGGAAAUGUAGUUGACUUCACCAAAACAUUGAUAAUCAUGACUUCAGAUGUUGGCAAGAAUAAGUUACGGCAUUCAUUUUUGUGAUUGUUUGUGGAAGUUUCCAGAUCGCCCCAUGAAGGAUUGGCAUCAAGUCUUGACGAACGAACAUGUUUGUGGUUUCAUCCCUGUUUUGAAAGAGGCAAAAAAAAGAGGUUAAAAAAUGAGCUGCUUGAACAACUGGAUGAUGUUAUCGUUUUCAAUGAUCUCUCCUGUUGCAGUUCAAUGCUAUUGCAAGGCUCAAACUCCUAAAUUUAGCAAAUUCUGUGAAACAAAAUUGCCUCAUUGUAUACCCUUCUGAAGCUGCAUUAAGAAGUAUCACUGUUAAAUCUUCUUGUACAACAAACUCUCUAUCUCUCUAUAUCUACAUCAUUAAGGCCUUGAUUUCUCUCUCGUUUUUGAGAGAUUUUUUGGUGCUGUUUGCGGCGAAACGGAAAGCUCGGCGAGAUUUUCAAGUUGAUGUAAGCAAUUUCAUCUUUGGCCAACCAGAGAAUUUUCAAAAAUUGGGCUUGGAAUUAGGGUUUUUGCAUCUAAGUGAGGUAGGUGGAGCAGCUAUGAGGAUAUGGCUAGAGAAGAAUGUUGCUCCUGUGCUUCUUGAGAUGCUAUCUGAGAACAAAAUAAAUGCUACACCAACCAUUUACAUUGAUGUCCUUGUUGGAACGGAUGAGCUGUCUUACAGAAUGGAGAAUAGUAGAGGUUUAGUGGGUGAUAAUGUUUUCAAUCGGUUCAAAGAAUCUUCAAUAGAAUUGAGACUUCUGUACUUGAAGGAGAAGGAAUAUAACGACAUGCAACACGUACUGAUGACGGGGCACAGAUGGUGACUCAAUUCAACAUGCAAGAAUACAGUGAUCCUGAUUCAUUUUUUCAGCUGAUGGGUGGAGCCUUUUGCUUCCCAUUGCAUGCUAGCCAUGAGUAACAUGGUUUGGCGCUCCCUGAGGCCGUUAAGACAAGGCCAUAUCGCGUUGUCCUCCUUGAUCAGGUUGAAAAGGCCCAAGCUUCUGUUUUUAGUGCUCUCCUUUCAGUGCUUGACCAUGGUACAUGAAGAUGUGAAGUUGGACGAGUAGUCAAUUUAUGUGACACUAUUGUGAUUGUUAUGUCGGAUUUGGGAAACAAGCGUAUACUUGCCGGCCUUGUUGGACAUGCUUCUCAAGAUACUGUUCAAGAAGGUGACCUCGAACAGGGAGGAAGACUUUUCAGAUUUGAGUUGCUGAAUCAGAUAGAUGAGAUUGUUAUAUUUAAUCCAUUCGCUCGUGAGCAGCUGAGAAAAUUUUCCAGGCUACCUUUGGGGGCUGGUAGUCAUCUAGAAAUGGGAUCAUAUACUCUAUUUCCAUCAGCACUCUCCUCUCUGUUUUCAAGGUUCAGCGAUCCAUUUGUUGAAAGGACAAAAGCCGAGUUCGUAGUGUUAUCCCAACUAUCAAAGAGGCUGAUUGGGAGCUGCAACCUUUGGUGUAUUUGGUAGCUACCAAAUUUUGCACAUAUAUAUAUAUAUAUACACACCAGCUUUUAUUUAGAAUUAGGCUUUAGGAGUUGGGAUUGAGAAAUGUAGAGAUGUGUAUUGAGACUCUGAAAUUGAUCUUCCAAGGGUAAGCCCUUGUGUCUUCUCGACCAUAUUAUAUAAAAUUUUCCACGUUAGCCCAAAAAAUAAAAAAUAAAAAAUCUGAAAUUGAUCCACCUGUGGUUUCAUAUUACCUUCUUGUUGAUGUUUCUGAAAUAUUAUUUUUAUUUCAGGUAAAUGAGUCAGUUCAUUCUUACCCCUGGAGAAAACAAAAAUGUCUUCUUGUGAACUAGUGAAACUUAAAUUGUCUGUCUUCAAAUUGGUGCUUAUAAGAUUCAAGUGUAGUUCGUUCAUUCUUUAUUAAAGUCACAACCUUUGUCUACCCACUAAUUAUAAUUAGUAUCCUAGUAAUCUUAAGUGUUUCCAGUUAGGUUAAUAUUCCACACACAUAUGUAUAGGCUCAAUUGGAAGAGAAGUUAUACUAGCUGAAUUAAUGGUGCUAAUAUUUGAUACACCUAUGGGGAAUUCUAGGAGAGAGAAUCUUGAAAUUUUAUCAAAACACUUACAAAAUUCUGAAAAAUGACAUUCGCAAAAUAUAUAAUAAAAUAUUAAAAAGUUUCAGUAAUAGUGAAGUAAAAUGUGCAUGAAUUAGUUAACAACUAAAAAUAUGUAGGAGCGAAACCUCGGAUAUCCCGGAUUAUCCAAAAAAAAAAAAAAAAAAAACUAAAAAAACUAAAAAUAUGUCAUAAAAUCCUUAUUUCAAAAUUUCUCAAACUUUAUAUAAUGUUAUUAUGCUAGUACAUAUAUAUGAUUAAUAUUUCUUAUUUAUUCCCUUGGUCUCAAAAUAAUUUUUUUUUCUUUUCUUUUCGGACUAUUCCAAAAUAUUCGUCUUACUUAAAAAAGUUUGAACAAGAUAUUCAGUCUCUUCAUCAAUACCCUUGAAAUUAAAAAAAAAAAAAAAAUUCAAACAUAAUUAUACAUAUUUUCAAACUUGAAUUGAAAGAGUAAUUUAAUAAUUUUUAAAAGGGACAUGAGAUGUUCUUUUGAAAAUUUCUACUCUUUAAAAAAUAUAUAUAUUUUUUAAAUAAAUUAUUAUAUGAUCCCAAAUUAUUCAUCACUUGACACCAAAAUAAAUUUCUCAAAAAUAUUUAAACUUUAUUAGUUUAUUCACUUUUUUACUUAGCUAUUAAGCGGUGAUUGACUAAAGAGUAAAGACUAUUGAUUGCAACAUGUAAUAAUUUCUCUCUAUUUUAAUGACGAAGGGACUAACUGGGAUCAAAUAGAAUAUUAAAGUACAAAAUUUUGUAUUAUAUGCUGCAUUUUUCAAGAUGUUUUUUUUUUUAGCACAACAUUUUUCAAGGUUGAUACACCACACAAUGCACUCAAAUACUCAAUACCCUUUACACACACGCGCACACACACACACAAACUAUGUACCUGUACCUGCAGGCUGCAGCUUUAAAAAAAAAAAACCUGCUGGACGCAGCUUUAAAGGUGCUCAUUGCAUUUCAUUUCAUCAACACCUUGGUUGGUUGACUGAUGGAGCUCUUUCUUUGCAUUUUCAUUUAAACUGCGACGUCUCAGUUCAUUGCCAGAUCUCUGAAACCCUAGUUUCAUUCUCACUACUUCUCAUCUCUCACAGUCUCAUUGAUCCAACUCACUCCUUCCUCCUCUCACACACACACACCCUCUCCUAUACAUCAAUGGCUUACCAGAACGGAGGUCUUAGGGAUUUGCUAAGAGACGACGGCGGUGGUUUUCUUCCGGUGAUAGUUCGGGUGAUUCUCAACCGACAACACCUACCACACUACAACCUCACCUGCUCCAUUUAUGAAGCCCCUCCCGCUAUAACCCAACCAGAUGCGGCAGAUGCGGGGAAGUCAUCCAAGAAGGAUUGUGGAGGUUGACCAGCGCGGAAUGUUGUCACAGUUUUCACCCAGAAUGUGUGAGAAAAAUGAAGACAGAGGUGAUGAGCUGUGGGGAUUGUGGUGACAUUAUCAGGAUUCCUGCUCUGAUUCUAAACUUGGGUGAAAACGUAGCUGAGAUUGCUGCUCGUUUAGAUCAACGCCCACCGAUUCCGGCAUGAUGAUGACCUCGCAGAGUAACUUGAUGGAUAAUUUUGUUGUUCACCAAGAUUUGAACUCCUGUUCUUCAGUUCUUAAUUGCUCACACAUUUUUUGUUGUUUUGAUAUGAGGUUUAUAUUGUUGAUUUGUGGCUUAGGUCUAACUUGUAUGUUAAUGGAUAUGGAUUUUGGGUUUAUGUUUUUGAUUUCAAGUACCUCCAUGGUUUAGGACGUUAAUUUUAGGUUUAUAAUUUGGAUUUUAAUUACUCUCAACUGGUUGGUUUGUUUACUCUUCACGAUGAAGAAGAUGCCUUAUCUGGUUGUGCUUUUGUCUUUUGAGCAGUAGCUCCUUCCAUAUUUAUCCAUUUUAUUGCCCCUAAAUUUGUCACUUCUUUGACUACUAAUUUAUGAAUAUAGUUGUUACAAUUUUCAACUUUAUUUGGUAGGCCACAUAAAUGAACAACAGGGUAAAUAAAUCAUGUACUUUGUCAGUGUGUAAUUGCAAAAAAACAGAGUGAAAAAUUGUAAUAAAGAAAGAAAAAAGUGUUGGUAUUGAAAGAAAGAUUGGGUGGUUGACUUUUUGCUUUGAUUUUGCUUAAAUAUUGGGAGUUUGUUUGAGAUUUUUAGUAUGUUUGAAUUAAAAUCAAAUGCAUACUUAAACUAAUAAAGUACGAUUUCAGGACCAAAAUUUCUUGUCUUUUUAUUGAUUAAACUAACAAUAGUAUAUGUGGUUCAAUAAUGCCCCAAUAAUUUUGCAGUUAAGACAUUUUUUUUUUUUUUUUGAUAAACUAGGGUCAAAGAAGAAAUAGCCAAGUUUAUCAUGUUUUUUCUUUCAUUGUAUCUGGCAUUAUAUGAACUUGUUCAGGUGUUACUGCAACCAGCUUGAACUAUUGAACAUAUAUGUAUCUUUAUAUGUGAAUGCAUUAAUUUGCGUAAGUGUGUGCACUAAUCGCUCUUGGGGUUUUCAUUCUUAGUUGGAGUUUGAUCUAUUAAUUAAUUUUCAAAUUGCAUUAUAUUAGUAUGAUCUAUCACUUAUUGUACUGGUAUGUGAAUUCAGUUAUAUUACUUGGAAUUCCUUUUAAGGCCUUGUUUGUGGGUUGAUUAAUUCUUCAAGAAUGGUUUUCUGCAUUUCAACACCUUUUCUUUGGAUGGUGCCAACACAGACUAUAUUUCUAGCACUAGAAUUUAAGAUUGGAAUUUGUGCUGCCAUUUUUUUAAUAAAAUUUUGGCUUGUGAUUUGUGGGUUCUGAUUGUUUCUUCAUUCUCAUUAAUUUAUUGAUUUAUGCAAUUAUGUUUUGAAAUUGCCAUGAAACUUGCAGGGAGACAAGCAUUGGCUUCAUGUAAGUAGGAGUUGAAGAUGAAGGAAUAGCUAGUAGACUUUUGAAAGGUUUCAAGAGAGUUCUCUUUAUGGUUUUUUAGAUAUACGUUUGUAAUUUUACUUUAUUUUAUGAAUUGCUGUGCACUUUGUUGCAUAUGGAUUAUAGAAUUGGUGAUAUUGUCCAAGAUCAUAUAUGCAAUACUAAAGAAUUUGGCUUCUCUGUUUCAAUGAAACCAAAUUACAAAGCAAA